rnacentral:piRNA from 1 species
UGGACCUAGUUGACCUUGCAGGGCC